AUAAAAAUGGCCAUGUAGGACAGACAUGUCAGCAGCAUGGCCAAUCAUCGUGCGUCGCGUGGCGCAAAAACCAGUACGCAUUCCACGCAGGAAGCCAUGCAGGUAAUCCGCAUGCCGAGCGAUCCAACGACCCGUGUUCACUCUUGCACAUAUGAAUGACCUAGAUCUAUUCCCUCAUUAAGUGUGAUCGGACGGCUGAGAAGACACCACGUGAACCCGAAUGGACAGCCCAGAUC
rnacentral:lncRNA from 1 species